UCCGAAGGGUGCAAACGUUGCUCGGAAUCAUUGGGCGUAAAGCGCACGUAGGCGGCUUCAAAAGUCGGAUGUGAAAUCCCUGGGCUCAACCGAGGAAGUGCAUCCGAAACUGCGGAGCUUGAGUAUGGAAGAGGGUCGCGGAAUUCCCGGUGUAGAGGUGAAAUUCGUAGAUAUCGGGAGGAACACCAGUGGCGAAGGCGGCGACCUGGGCCAAUACUGACGCUGAGGUGCGAAAGCGUGGGGAGCAAACAGG
rnacentral:rRNA from 1 species